rnacentral:rRNA from 1 species
AUUGAACGCUGGCGGCAGGCCUAACACAUGCAAGUCGAGCGGAUGAGUGGAGCUUGCUCCAUGAUUCAGCGGCGGACGGGUGAGUAAUGCCUAGGAAUCUGCCUGGUAGUGGGGGACAACGUUUCGAAGGGAACGCUAAUACCGCAUACGUCCUACGGGAGAAAGUGGGGGAUCUUCGGACCUCACGCUAUCAGAUGAGCCUAGGUCGGAUUAGCUAGUUGGUGAGGUAAGGGCUCACCAAGGCGACGAUCCGUAACUGGUCUGAGAGGAUGAUCAGUCACACUGGAACUGAGACACGGUCCAGACUCCUACGGGAGGCAGCAGUGGGGAAUAUUGGACAAUGGGCGAAAGCCUGAUCCAGCCAUGCCGCGUGUGUGAAGAAGGUCUUCGGAUUGUAAAGCACUUUAAGUUGGGAGGAAGGGCAGUAAGUUAAUACCUUGCUGUUUUGACGUUACCAACAGAAUAAGCACCGGCUAACUUCGUG